rnacentral:rRNA from 1 species
UACAGAGGUGGCAAGCGUUGUUCGGAAUUACUGGGCGUAAAGGGCGCGUAGGCGGCCUUCUAAGUCAGACGUGAAAUCCCCCGGCUUAACCUGGGAACUGCGUCUGAUACUGGGAGGCUUGAGUAUGGGAGAGGGAUGUAGAAUUCCAGGUGUAGCGGUGAAAUGCGUAGAUAUCUGGAGGAACACCGGUGGCGAAGGCGGGUCUCUGGGCCGUAACUGACGCUGAGGAGCGAAAGCGUGGGGAGCGAACAGG